CCUACGUGUGGCAGCAGUGAGGAAUAUUGGUCAAUGGGCGGGAGCCUGAACCAGCCAAGUCGCGUGAAGGAAGAAGGUCCUUAGGAUUGUAAACUUCUUUUGUCAGGGAACAAAGUCGGAACCGCGUGCCCGUAUGAGUGUACUCUAAGACAAAGCAUCGGCUAACUCCGUGCCAGCAGCCGCGGUACUACGGAGUAUGGGAGCGUUAUCCGGAUUUAUUGGGUUUAAGGGGUGCGCAGGCGGUAGAUCAAGUCAGCGGUAAAAUGGUGGGGCGCACCGUAGGCGGGCAGUUGAAACUGUUUGUCUAGAGUUGGAUAGAGGUAGGCGGAAUGCGUGGUGUAGCGGUGAAAUGCAUAGAUAUCACGAAGAACUCCGAUUGCGAAGGCAGCAUAC
rnacentral:rRNA from 1 species